rnacentral:misc_RNA from 1 species
GAUGAAGAACGUAGCGAAAUGCGAUAAGUAAUGUGAAUUGCAGAAUUCAGUGAAUCAUCGAAUCUUUGAACGCACAUUGCGCCCGCUGGUAUUCCGGCGGGCAUGCCUGUUCGAGCGUCAUUUCAACCCUCAAGCUCUCCGGAGUUUGGUGUUGGGGCGCCUGGGGCUCUUCGACCUCAGGGCCCUCAAGUCCAUCGGCGGGACCGCCAGGACACUGAGCGCAGUAGUAUUAUUUCGCUCGGUAGGAUCUUCCACGGCGGGUCGAUCUGGCCGCUAAACCCCCCAAUUCUCACCAAAGGUUGACCUCGGAUCAGGUAGGAAUACCCGCUGAACUUAAGCAUAUCAAUAAGCGGAGGA